AUUCCAGCUCCAAUAGCGUAUAUUAAAGUUGUUGCAGUUAAAAAGCUCGUAGUCGGAUUUCGGGGCCUGCCGAGCGGUCUGCCGAUGGGUAUGCACUGUUCGGUGCGUCCUUCUUUCCGGAGACUAAUUCUACUCUUAACUGAGCGGAAUUGGGAGACGGAUCGUUUACUUUGAAAAAAUCAGAGUGUUUCAAGCAGGCAGCUCGCUCUUGCAUGGAUUAGCAUGGGAUAAUGAAAUAGGACUUUGGUGCUAUUUUGUUGGUUUCGAACACCGAAGUAAUGAUUAACAGGGACAGUCAGGGGCACUCGUAUUCCGCCGAGAGAGGUGAAAUUCUCAGACCAGCGGAAGACGAACCACUGCGAAAGCAUUUGCCAGGGAUGUUUUCAUCA
rnacentral:rRNA from 1 species